CACGUAGGGUGCGAGCGUUGUCCGGAUUUACUGGGCGUAAAGGGCGCGUAGGCGGCAAUUCAAGUCAGCUGUGAAAUCUCUGGGCUUAACCCAGAACGGCCAGCUGAUACUGCUUUGCUAGAGUGCAGAAGGGGCAAUCGGAAUUCUUGGUGUAGCGGUGAAAUGCGUAGAUAUCAAGAGGAACACCUGAGGUGAAGACGGGUUGCUGGGCUGACACUGACGCUGAGGCGCGAAAGCCAGGGGAGCAAACGGG
rnacentral:rRNA from 1 species